GCUUUAAUAGUUCAAUCAGAACAUUGGUCUUGUAAGUCAAAAGUAAAUAAUAAUUUUUAAAGCU
rnacentral:tRNA from 1 species